rnacentral:lncRNA from 1 species
GGGAUAUAGUUACGAUACUGUUGUCAAGUCAUUAAAGAUUGCAUAUUUUGGCGUUAAUAUUGAUUCACUUAUAGGGUCUUUGCAUCGGAACUAAACACAUUUAUUCAAAAACCAGUUGUUGGCAUGACACGGGUUAUGUUCUUCUCAUAUAUGUUAUGAUGGUAUGAUACUAAACCCCUAACGGGAAGGAUUGUGCCUGAU